rfam:Felis catus isolate Cinnamon breed Abyssinian chromosome B3, whole genome shotgun sequence.
ACCUGGGUGGCUCAGUUGGUCGAGUGCCUGACUUAGGCUCAGGUCACGAUCUCACCACUCGUGAGUUCAAGCCCCGCACCAGGCU